rnacentral:tRNA from 1 species
GGUGGUUCACUGGUAGAGCACUUGCCUUGCAUGCAUGAGGCCCUGGGUUCGAUUCCUCAGCACCA